rnacentral:rRNA from 1 species
UUGAGCACUUUUAAAGUAUUAAUUACAACUCUCACAUGUUCGCGCACUGAAGCUAAGCAGGGCUGAGCCUGGUCAGUACCUGGAUGGGAGACCACAUGGGAAAGCUAGGUUGCUGCCGGAA